UAGGGAAUCUUCGGCAAUGGACGAAAGUCUGACCGAGCAACGCCGCGUGAGUGAAGAAGGUUUUCGGAUCGUAAAACUCUGUUGUUAGAGAAGAACAAGGACGUUAGUAACUGAACGUCCCCUGACGGUAUCUAACCAGAAAGCCACGGCUAACUACGUGCCAGCAGCCGCGGUAAUACGUAGUUGGCAAGCGUUGUCCGGAUUUAUUGGGCGUAAAGCGAGCGCAGGCGGUUUCUUAAGUCUGAUGUGAAAGUCCCCGAAUCAACCGGGGAGGGUCAUUGGAAACUGGGAGACUUGAGUGCAGAAGAGGAGAGUGGAAUUCCAUGUGUAGCGGUGAAAUGCGUAGAUAGAUGGAGGAACACCAGUGGCGAAGGCGGCUCUCUGGUCUGUAACUGACGCUGAGGCUCGAAAGCGUGGGGAGCAAACAGG
rnacentral:rRNA from 1 species